rnacentral:rRNA from 1 species
AUUGAACGCUGGCGGCAGGCCUAACACAUGCAAGUCGAGCGAGCGGCGGACGGGUGAGUAAUGUAUGGGGACUGCCCGAUAGAGGGGGAUAACUACUGGAAACGGUAGCUAAUACCGCAUACUAUCGGAUAACCCAUAUGGGAUUAGCUAGUAGGUGAGGUAAUGGCUCACCUAGGCGACGAUCCCUAGCUGGUCUGAGAGGAUGAUCAGCCAGACUGGAACUGAGACACGGCCCCGACUCCUACGGAGGCAGCAGUGGGGAAUAUUGCACACGGGGCGCAAGCCUGAUGCAGCCAUGCCGCGUGUAUGAAGAAGGCGCUAGGGUUGUAAAGUACUUUUGGCAGAGAAGCGGUAUCUGAAGAAUAAGCACCGGCUAACUACGUGCCAGCAGCCGCGGUAAUAC